rnacentral:lncRNA from 7 species
CGCGGAAACGCGUGGGGCUACCUGCCUGCCGCCGCCCCCGACACCGACCGGAGGCGCCUGCCUCCGCUCCUCCUCGUCCGGACUCGUUUCGAUGUAGCCGCGCGUCCGCCCUUGCGUCCUCCGCGCUCAACGCUUGAUGAUCGGGUGUCGCCGUCUGCUACUCGAUCUCCUCCCGCCCCGGCCCCACCGAAUCCAUCACCCGCCGAGGGGAUGGAGACGGGGUUCGACGUGGCCUGCCCGGGUUGGG